rnacentral:rRNA from 1 species
AAACCAACAGGGAUUGCCUUAGUAGCGGCGAGUGAAGCGGCAAAAGCUCAAAUUUGAAAUCUGGCACUUUCAGUGUCCGAGUUGUAAUUUGAAGAAGGUAUCUUUGGGUCUGGCUCUUGUCUAUGUUUCUUGGAACAGAACGUCACAGAGGGUGAGAAUCCCGUGCGAUGAGAUGACCCAGACCUAUGUAAAGUUCCUUCGAAGAGUCGAGUUGUUUGGGAAUGCAGCUCUAAGUGGGUGGUAAAUUCCAUCUAAAGCUAAAUAUUGGCGAGAGACCGAUAGCGAACAAGUACAGUGAUGGAAAGAUGAAAAGAACUUUGAAAAGAGAGUGAAAAAGUACGUGAAAUUGUUGAAAGGGAAGGGCUUGAGAUCAGACUUGGUAUUUUGUAUGUUACUCUUUCGGGGGUGGCCUCUACAGUUUACCGGGCCAGCAUCAGUUUGGGCGGUAGGAGAAUUGCAAAGAAAUGUGGCACUGCCUCGGUAGUGUGUUAUAGUCUUUGUCGAUACUGCCAGCCUAGACUGAGGACUGCGGCUUCGGCCUAGGAUGUUGGCAUAAUGAUCUUAAGUCGCCCGUCUUGAAACACGGACCA